GGAGCUAUGACUGGCUCAUUCUGAACAAAAGCAGAUGAGGAACUACUGUGAUGCUGCUGAGGCUGGAGCUAUCUAGUUCAGACCGGCGGCUGGGUGCUGCCUUCAGCACUGAAGGGCUCUUUGAAGGUGUGAAGCUCCUCCCCCUAUCCCACUUGGCUCUGUGCACUUAACGCCUGCCCGCUGCUUCACAGCAGAACAAGAUGUUCUCUCGAUUACUCCUGCUGCAAAAAAGGAACAACCGCUUUCACUUUCUGUUGCUGCUGAGGUACAUAAAAUCAGAGAUGGCCAAAGAAGAUUAUCACCCGCUCUGACAUCCAAUCCACAACCAGCAGCUGCCCUCACGGCCUCAUGAUUCAGUGCAGAACACUCUUGAUUGAACCAAGUCAGGCAUUUAAGAAAUCUACAGGUAGCAGCCCUCAAUCGUCAGUAAAAUAAGUGUGUGUGAUGUCUCUUUAAUGGGAGCUUUCACCACAUGCUCAGACAAAAACCACAUUA